AACGAACGCUGGCGGCAGGCUUAACACAUGCAAGUCGAGCGCCCCGCAAGGGGAGCGGCAGACGGGUGAGUACCGCGUGGGAACGUACCUUUUGGUUCGGAACAACUCCGGGAAACUGGAGCUAAUACCGGAUAAGCCCUAACGGGGAAAGAUUUAUCGCCGAAGGAUCGGCCCGCGUCUGAUUAGCUAGUUUGUGAGGUAACGACUCACCAAGGCGACGAUCAGUAGCUGGUCUGAGAGGAUGAUCAGCCACACUGGGACUGAGACACGGCCCAGACUCCUACGGGAGGCAGCAGUGGGGAAUAUUGGACAAUGGGCGCAAGCCUGAUCCAGCCAUGCCGCGUGAGUGAUGAAGGCGUUAGGGUUGUAAAGCUCUUUUGUCCGGGAAGAUAAUGACUGUACCGGAAGAAUAAGCCCCGGCUAACUUCGUG
rnacentral:rRNA from 1 species